rnacentral:tRNA from 1 species
GAGGGUAUAGCUAAGUGGUAGAGUGCAUGCCUAGCAUGCGUGAGGUCCUGGGUUCAAUUCCCAGUACUUCUA